rnacentral:rRNA from 1 species
GACGAACGCUGGCGGCGUGCUUAACACAUGCAAGUCGAACGGCAAGGCCCUGCUUUUGUGGGGUGCUCGAGUGGCGAACGGGUGAGUAACACGUGAGUAACCUGCCCUUGACUUUGGGAUAACUUCAGGAAACUGGGGCUAAUACCGGAUAGGAGCUCCUGCUGCAUGGUGGGGGUUGGAAAGUUUCGGCGGGUGGGGAUGGACUCGCGGCUUAUCAGCUUGUUGGUGGGGUAGUGGCUUACCAAGGCUUUGACGGGUAGCCGGCCUGAGAGGGUGACCGGGCACAUUGCGACUGAGAGACGGCCCAGACGGCUACGGGAGGCAGCAGGGGGGAAUAUGGCACAAUGGGCGGAAGCGUGAUGCAGAGACGUCGCGUGCGGGAUGACGGCCUUCGGGUUAAAAACCGCUGUCGCCUGUGACGAAGCGUGAGUGACGGUAAUGGGUAAAGAAGCACCGGCUAACUACGUG